rnacentral:tRNA from 1 species
CGGGGCGUAGCGCAGUGGUAGCGCACUCGUUUGGGGUGCGAGUGGUCGGCGGUUCGAGUCCGCCCGCCCCGA